rnacentral:rRNA from 1 species
AGUGAACGCUGGCGGUAGGCCUAACACAUGCAAGUCGAACGGCAGCACAGUAAGAGCUUGCUCUUACGGGUGGCGAGUGGCGGACGGGUGAGGAAUACAUCGGAAUCUACUUUUUCGGGGGGGAUAACGUAGGGAAACUUACGCUAAUACCGCAUACGUCCUACGGGUGAAAGCAGGGGAUCUUCGGACCUUGCGCGACUGAAUGAGCCGAUGUCGGAUUAGCUAGUUGGCGGGGUAAAGGCCCACCAAGGCGACGAUCCGUAGCUGGUCUGAGAGGAUGAUCAGCCACACUGGAACUGAGACACGGUCCAGACUCCUACGGGAGGCAGCAGUGGGGAAUAUUGGACAAUGGGCGCAAGCCUGAUCCAGCCAUACCGCGUGGGUGAAGAAGGCCUUCGGGUUGUAAAGCCCUUUUGUUGGGAAAGAAAAGCAGCAGGUUAAUACCCCGCUGUUCUGACGGUACCCAAAGAAUAAGCACCGGCUAACUUCGUG